GAGAACCCUCCUGCUUGAUCUGGACACCUCAGCUGAUGGCCACUCCUCAACUCCAGGAUUUUUUUGGAGAGGCCUACCAUAUUUGCUUAGUGUGAGAACAAUCCACAAAAUCUACAUUUUAAAGAGAGGCAUAGCGUAUUUGCAUAGUAUUAACUAUAUUAUGUUACACAUUCGUGUGUAAAUAUAUAUCUACAAUAUUUUUAUUUUUCAAAGUUUUGAAUUUAGAAUGUGCCAUGAAAGUGAAUUGAUGGAAAGCUGUGUUCACCCGUACAGGUGGACAAAUAACUGCCCAAGUAUUCUCUGCUGUCUCAACUGCAGCCAUGAAAAUCAACUUGCGGCAAAAAGGUUGUUUUUAAGUUUUAAGGUUGUUUUUAUUUCAGCAAUUUAUGCUUGAAGAAGAUAAUAAGAUCUGCGGCUAUAAAUGAUAAAUGUUAUGUUUAUGUUUCAUAGUAAUGCAAACAAAAUUUUAUCACAACUUUAAUUUGUACAACUUGUUCCGAAGCAGCAGGGCCUCCCCUCUGGUACAAUCGUCAAUAGUUUGGUCCAGUCACUCCACUGUCAGUCAUAGUCUUAGUUUGGUAUGGGAAUGUGUUGGAUUUUAUGUUUUAAAGUAAAGAAAUACUUUGAAUUAUUGAACAAUGAAGAAUUUUGGAUUUUU
rnacentral:sRNA from 1 species